rnacentral:rRNA from 1 species
UAAGUGACUAAGCGUACACGGUGGAUGCCUUGGCAGUCAGAGGCGAUGAAAGACGUAGUAACUUGCGAUAAGCCCAGAUUAGGUAGUAACAACCAUUUGAGUCUGGGAUUUCUGAAUGGGGAAACCCACGUGCAUAAGCACGUAUCCUUACCUGAAUACAUAGGGUAAGGAGGCGAACCGGGGGAACUGAAACAUCUAAGUACCCCGAGGAAAAGAAAUCAACCGAGAUUCCGAAAGUAGCGGCGAGCGAAAUUGGACUAGCCCUUAAGCUUUACACGCGUUAGACGAACGGUCUGGAAAGUCCGACGAUACAGGGUGAUAGUCCCGUAGUUGACGACGUGUGUUCAGUGAAAUCGAGUAGGGCGGGACACGUGAUAUCCUGUCUGAAUAUGGGGGGACCAUCCUCCAAGGCUAAAUACUACUGACUGACCGAUAGUGAACCAGUACCGUGAGGGAAAGGCGAAAAGAACCCCUGUGAGGGGAGUGAAAUAGAACCUGAAACCGUGUACGUACAAGCAGUAGGAGCAGGCUUUGUCCUGUGACUGCGUACCUUUUGUAUAAUGGGUCAGCGACUUAUAUUCAGUGGCAAGGUUAACCAUCUAGGGGAGCCGUAGGGAAACCGAGUCUUAACUGGGCGUUCAGUCUCUGGAUAUAGACCCGAAACCAGGUGAUCUAGCCAUGGGCAGGUUGAAGGUUGAGUAACAUCAACUGGAGGACCGAACCGACUAAUGUUGAAAAAUUAGCGGAUGACUUGUGGCUAGGGGUGAAAGGCCAAUCAAACCUGGAGAUAGCUGGUUCUCCCCGAAAGCUAUUUAGGUAGCGCCUCGGACGAAUACUACUGGGGGUAGAGCACUGUUAAGGCUAGGGGGUCAUCCCGACUUACCAACCCUUUGCAAACUCCGAAUACCAGUAAGUACUAUCCGGGAGACACACGGCGGGUGCUAACGUCCGUCGUGGAGAGGGAAACAACCCAGACCGCCAGCUAAGGUCCCAAAUUACUACUAAGUGGGAAACGAUGUGGGAAGGCUCAGACAGCCAGGAUGUUGGCUUAGAAGCAGCCAUCAUUUAAAGAAAGCGUAAUAGCUCACUGGUCGAGUCGGCCUGCGCGGAAGAUGUAACGGGGCUAAGUAGUAAACCGAAGCUGCGGCAAUGUGCUUUUGCACAUUGGGUAGGGGAGCGUUCUGUAAGCGGUUGAAGGUGUGUGGUAACGCAUGCUGGACGUAUCAGAAGUGCGAAUGCUGACAUGAGUAACGAUAAAGGGGGUGAAAAACCUCCUCGCCGGAAGACCAAGGGUUCCUGUCCAACGUUAAUCGGGGCAGGGUAAGUCGACCCCUAAGGCGAGGCCGAAAGGCGUAGUCGAUGGGAAACGGGUUAAUAUUCCCGUACUUCUUACAAUUGCGAUGGGGGGACGGAGAAGGCUAGGUGGGCCUGGCGACGGUUGUCCAGGUUCAAGUGCGUAGGCUUGAGAGUUAGGUAAAUCCGGCUCUUUUUAAGGCUGAGACACGACGUCGAGCCACUACGGUGGUGAAGUCAUUGAUGCCAUGCUUCCAGGAAAAGCCUCUAAGCUUCAGAUUGUAAGGAAUCGUACCCCAAACCGACACAGGUGGUCGGGUAGAGAAUACCAAGGCGCUUGAGAGAACUCGGGUGAAGGAACUAGGCAAAAUGGUACCGUAACUUCGGGAGAAGGUACGCUCUCGACGGUGAAGUCCCUCGCGGAUGGAGCUAUUGAGAGUCGCAGAUACCAGGUGGCUGCAACUGUUUAUUAAAAACACAGCACUGUGCAAAAUCGUAAGAUGACGUAUACGGUGUGACGCCUGCCCGGUGCCGGAAGGUUAAUUGAUGGGGUUAGACUUCGGUCGAAGCUCUUGAUCGAAGCCCCGGUAAACGGCGGCCGUAACUAUAACGGUCCUAAGGUAGCGAAAUUCCUUGUCGGGUAAGUUCCGACCUGCACGAAUGGCGUAAUGAUGGCCACGCUGUCUCCACCCGAGACUCAGUGAAAUUGAAAUCGCUGUGAAGAUGCAGUGUACCCGCGGCUAGACGGAAAGACCCCGUGAACCUUUACUACAGCUUGGCACUGAACAUUGACCCUACAUGUGUAGGAUAGGUGGGAGGCUUUGAAGCACGUACGCCAGUAUGUGUGGAGCCGUCCUUGAAAUACCACCCUUGUAGUGUUGAUGUUCUAACGUCGACCCCUUAUCGGGGUUGCGGACAGUGCCUGGUGGGUAGUUUGACUGGGGCGGUCUCCUCCCAAAGAGUAACGGAGGAGCACGAAGGUGGGCUAAUCACGGUUGGACAUCGUGAGGUUAGUGCAAUGGCAUAAGCCCGCUUGACUGCGAGAAUGACAAUUCGAGCAGGUGCGAAAGCAGGUCAUAGUGAUCCGGUGGUUCUGAAUGGAAGGGCCAUCGCUCAACGGAUAAAAGGUACUCCGGGGAUAACAGGCUGAUACCGCCCAAGAGUUCAUAUCGACGGCGGUGUUUGGCACCUCGAUGUCGGCUCAUCACAUCCUGGGGCUGAAGUCGGUCCCAAGGGUAUGGCUGUUCGCCAUUUAAAGUGGUACGCGAGCUGGGUUUAGAACGUCGUGAGACAGUUCGGUCCCUAUCUGCCGUGGGCGUUGGAAGAUUGAAGGGGGCUGCUCCUAGUACGAGAGGACCGGAGUGGACGAACCUCUGGUGUUCGGGUUGUGUCGCCAGACGCAUUGCCCGGUAGCUAAGUUCGGAAUCGAUAACCGCUGAAAGCAUCUAAGCGGGAAGCGAGCCCUGAGAUGAGUCUUCCCUGAUACUUUAAGUAUCCUAAAGGGUUGUCGGAGACUACGACGUUGAUAGGUCAGGUGUGUAAGUGCUGUGAGGCAUUGAGCUAACUGAUACUAAUUGCCCGUGAGGCUUAACCA